GCCCAAGAGAUCGGGAUAACACCUGGAAACAGAUGCUAAUACCGGAUAACAACAGAUGAUGCCUAUCAACUGUUUAAAAGAUGGUUCUGCUAUCACUCUUGGAUGGACCUGCGGUGCAUUAGCUAGUUGGUAGGGUAACGGCCUACCAAGGCGAUGAUGCAUGGCCGAGUUGAGAGACUGAUCGGCCACAUUGGGACUGAGACACGGCCCAAACUCCUACGGGAGGCAGCAGCC
rnacentral:rRNA from 1 species